rnacentral:rRNA from 1 species
UCCAGACUCCUACGGGAGGCAGCAGUGGGGAAUAUUGGGCAAUGGACGCAAGCCUGACCCAGCAACGCCGCGUGAAGGAAGAAGGCUUUCGGGUUGUAAACUUCUUUUCUCAGGGACGAAGCAAGUGACGGUACCUGAGGAAUAAGCCACGGCUAACUACGUGCCAGCAGCCGCGGUAAUACGUAGGUGGCAAGCGUUAUCCGGAUUUACUGGGUGUAAAGGGCGUGUAGGCGGGGACGCAAGUCAGAUGUGAAAACCAUGGGCUCAACCUGUGGCCUGCAUUUGAAACUGUUUUUCUUGAGUACUGGAGAGGCAGACGGAAUUCCUAGUGUAGCGGUGAAAUGCGUAGAUAUUAGGAGGAACACCAGUGGCGAAGGCGGCCUGCUGGACGACAACUGACGGUGAGGCGCGAAAGCGUGGGGAGCAAACAGGAUUAGAUACCCCUGUA